rnacentral:rRNA from 1 species
GAUGAACGCUGGCGGCGUGCCUAAUACAUGCAAGUCGAACGAACAGACGAGGAGCUUGCUCCUCUGACGUUAUCGGCGGACGGGUGAGUAACACGUGGAUAACCUACCUAUAAGACUGGGAUAACUUCGGGAAACCGGAGCUAAUACCGGAAAAUAUAUCGAACCGCAUGGUUCAAUAGUUGAAGUCGGUUUUGCUGACACUAAUAGCUGGAUCCGCGCCGCAUUAGCUAGUUGGUAAGGUAACGGCUUAACAAGGCAACGAUGCGUAUACGACCUGAGAGGGACAACGGAUACCCUGGCACAGAGGCACGGCACAGACUCCGACGGGAGGAAGCAGUAGGGACUCUUACGCGAUGGGGGAAAGCCUGACGGAGCAAAGUCGCGUGAGGGAUGAAGGUCUUCGGCUCGUUAAACGAUGAUAUUAGGGAAGAACAAAAGUGUAAGUAACUAUGAACGUCUUGACGGUACCUAAACAGAAAGCCACGGCUAACUCCGUG